CUCCAGAGUGGACGGGGGCGACACCGGCGGUUCGCCGGAAGGCGGAGUGCCCGUCGCCGUGGCCGUGUUCGACACGCCUCCGGAGUCCA
rnacentral:tRNA from 1 species